AAAUUGAAAAAAAGUGUCGAGACCGGGGGGGGGGUUGGCCUAUUCAAUGGCGUUGCGGGUAACCCAGCAUUCCGUGCGGCGGUGAAUACAGCCUGGUCGCGAAACAAAGCGAGGCGCAGGUGGCGUGCCGGGCGGCGGACAGAGCAUGUGCAGAAAGGCGUCCCGCAGAGGGAGGUCUGUGUUUGUCUCGGCUCCGCAAAGGGUGAGGUUCAGACGGAGGACUUGCUUCCCGGGGAGGACGACGGGGCGGAGGAGUUGCUUCCCUGUUCAAAGAAGGUUGGCAGCCAAGAAGCAUCACGUCAAAUGUUGCCAGGAUCACUCGACCUGAGUCUUCUCAGCUGUUGAAUGACAUUCGAGGUGGAGGAUUUACAACCCAAACAUCACAUCAGGGUCUGACAAGAAUUGCUGAAUUUAUCAUAGCCUGAUAAGAUUCUGGACAUGGAAGGAGAAAGCAGUGUUGAUAAGCUCAUUGGGGACAAACCAUGGAAAUGUGUGGACUGCAAUGCACGAUUCAUGUAUCCGUCUCAGCUGGAAACCCACCGACGUACUCACACUGGAGAGAAGCCAUACCCUUGCUCCGUCUGUAGUAAGAGAUUCACUCUGUCGUCUAACCUGCUGAGACACCAGCAAGUUCACACUGACGACAGACCAUUCAAGUGUUCUCACUGUGGGCGUUGUUUCAGGCGAUUGUCCCAUCUCGCUGCCCACCAGCGAACUCACACUGGGGAAAGAUUCUCCUGCUCCAACUGUGGGAAAGAAUUCACUCGGGGAUCCAGAUUGCUGAAACACCAGAAAAUUCAUACUCGGCCGAAACAACUGGCCUGUCCUGAGUGUGGGCAGGGCUUCGCUGAGUUAUUCUCCCUGCUGAGUCACCAGCGGGUUCACGCUGGGGAGAGACUGUUCAUAUGUUCCAAGUGUGGAAAGGAAUUUACUCAUUCAUCCAAGCUGCUAUCAGACCAGGACGUUCAAACUGGGAAUGGGCCUUUCGCCUGCCCGGAGUGUGGCAAAGAAUUCACUCUGUUAGCCACUCUGCUGACACAUCAGCAUGCUCACAAACCACCAUUAACUUGUUCAGAGUGUGUGAGGGAUUUGUUGUGUUAGUCUGUCUGCUGACACAUCAGCAUGUUCACACAGCACCUGCUUUGCGUGUGGGAAGGAGGUCAGUCAGUUGUCCCACCCAUUGAGAUGCAGCAAGUUCUUAAGUAAAUGCAGUGAUUGGAUUUUUCUGUCCAAGCGUGACCUGAUUUAAUGUCUUCAUAAUGAAGUAGCCUCUCAUUAAGUCAUCACUGGAAGAUUGAAUUUCCCAUUCGUGUUUAGGGAGAGAAGAGUCGGUCUAAGAGUAGAUGUUGAAAGUCAAGUAAAGGCAAGGACAAGGCUAUGAAGACACAGGUGACAAAAGGGAACUGCGGAAUGAAGUUUAUGGAUGACUGAAUGAGACAUCGUGUCAGACAUUUAAGAUUAUAUUUCAUUGCAUUCUGCAAAGUAACUUUGCAGUGUGAAAGAGAGUUUCUAUGAGAAGGCUGCACAUCUGUGGCUAACUAA